GGUAAUACAGCUCAGUGGUAGAGCACAUGCUUAGCAUGCACAAGGUCCUGGGUUCAAUUCCUCAGUACCUCCA
rnacentral:tRNA from 1 species